CAUGUAUGAUGAUUAUUGUCAGGGUGGUUCAAAAGGUAGCAAUGUAGCUCAUUACAUUAACAUAUGAGAGAAAUCAUCAAACAAAGAUUUAAUUAUUUAUUUGAAAGGCAGACUGACAUAGAGGGAGAGACAGAUCUUCCAUCCUCUGGUUCACUCCCCAAAUGCCUAGGAGAGCUGAUCCUGGGCCAGGGCAAAGUAAUGAACUAUAAAGAGAACAUAUUUCAUAUAUUUCAUAGAUAUAAUUCCAAGAAGAUAACCAUACUUCAGCAGUUUGCAACAUAAUUAUACUUAACAAAUGUAUUAAAUAUGACUUUAAUGUAAAUACUUAAAUAAAAUAAUUAAGAGCAAUUUAUGAUGACCAAAUGGAUUUCCUUUUUUUUCUUUUGAGAAGAUUUACUCCUUCAGUCUCCUUUAGUCAUAUAAUCAAAUGAUCUUCACGUUUCAUCAAAACAGACCCAUGAUGUGUCACAGUCUGAUUUAGGUUUGUGAGGAUUAUAUUACUUUAGAAGUAAUAUUCAGUACCUUCCUAUUUUUCUUAUCUUUUUUUCUUUUGGUCUUCAGCCAUUCCUGAAUCCAACCAUCUACAGAACUCACAACUCAGCAUAUCAGUUUUCUACAUCAACGGCUGCAACUGGUGAUACUGGUACCAAUUUAACUGAUGUCUGCACCAACACAGGGUCCCUUGGACACUCCGAAUUUCCAAACAGAGAAUUCCUACAUGGUCAGGUAACACAACAUUUCCACAAUGGUUGGUCUUUAUGGAAAAUCUUCCUAGCUUGUCUCUUAGCUGGUGUGAUAACAACAGCAUUUGGAGUACUCAUAAUGUCCUUGGUGUACAAUGGGAGAAAUAACAAUACUUCCAUUGUUAUUCAAGUUCCUCAAAGCCAAGGGACAUCCUCAUCUACUACUGGGACAUCUACAAGUUCAAAACCUGUAGCCACCACUACAUCUACCUCAACAUCCACUUCAACUCAGCCUACUAGCACAAUAACAAUGGCAGGUGGCUCAACAGAACCUACCAGCAAAACAACCAUCACUAAUACUACAACUGAAACUACCACAGCAGCGGCCACCACUUCCACCAAAGAAACAAGCAGCCAAACCAAUUCAGGCACUACAACAAGCACAAGCACAUCUACAACCACAGAGGCCAGCACUACUGCUUCAACUGGGCCUACUACAUCUGCUUCCAGCAGCACUGCUUCUACUGCACCAUCUAGUACUGCAACUCCUGAGACAACAGCAACUACAGAGACUACAGCAACUACAGUCACUUCACCUGAAACUACAACAUCUACUUCCAGCACCACUGCUUCUACUGCACCAUCUAGUACUGCAACACCUGAGACAACAGCAACUACAGAGACAAAAGGAACUACAGUCACUUCAACUGAAACUACAACAUCUACUUCCAGCACCACUGCUUCUACUGCACCAUCUAGUACUGCAACUCCUGAGACAACAGCAACUACAGAGACAACAGGAACUACAGUCACUUCACCUAAAACUACAACAUCUACUUCCAGCAGCACUGCUUCUACAGUACCAUCUAGUACUGCAACUCUUGAGACAACAACAACUACAGAGAGAACAGGAACUACAGUCACUUCACCUGAAACUAAAACAUCUGCUUCCAGCAGCAGUGCUUCUACUGUACUCUCAAGUACAGCCACUCCAGAGACUACGGUAACUACAGUCACUUCACCUAUAACUACAUCGUCUUCCAGCACCACUGCUUCUACUGCACCAUCUAGUACUGCAACUCCUGAGACAACAGCAACUACAGAGACAUCAGGAACUACAGUCACUUCACCUGAAACUGCAACGUCUGUUUCCAGCAGCACUGCUUCUACUGCACCAUCUAGUACUGCAACUCCUGAGACAACAGCAACUACAGAGACAACAGGAACUACAGUCACUUCACCAGAAAC
rnacentral:lncRNA from 1 species